GACGAACGCUGGCGGCGUGCUUAACACAUGCAAGUCGAACGGUGAAGCGCCUUCCUUUUUGGUGGGUGUGGAUGAGUGGCGAACGGGUGAGUAACACGUGAGUAACCUGCCCCCUUCUUCUGGAUAACCGCAUGAAAGUGUGGCUAAUACGGGAUGUUCUGGGUCUGUCGCAUGAUGGGUCUGGGAAAGAUAUUGUUUCGGUGGGGGAUGGGCUCGCGGCCUAUCAGCUUGUUGGUGGGGUGAUGGCCUACCAAGGCGGUGACGGGUAGCCGGCCUGAGAGGGUGAACCGUCACACUGGGACUGGGACACGGCCCAGACUCCUACGGGAGGCAGCAGUGGGGAAUAUUGCACAAUGGGGGCAAGCCUGAUGCAGCGACGCCGCGUGAGGGAUGGAGGCCUUCGGGUUGUGAACCUCUUUCGCCAGUGAAGCAGGACUGCCUCGUGUGUGGGUGGGUUGACGGUAGCUGGAUAAGAAGCGCCGGCUAACUACGUG
rnacentral:rRNA from 1 species